UUGAUCACUUAUGACGUGUGUCUGUCUGCGAUUACAAAAUAACUUCCUAGAUAUUUGUUCUGAACGACAUUUCAUUGUAUGAUGUUAAAAAGGCCAAUAUUGUGGUUUACUCAAAAAUAAUUUGUUAUGCAUUAUUUUCUUUUAUUUUGUUGUUUUUGAAGACUAUCGAUGGUGUCUAAUCAAGGAGAUAUGCAACAAAUACCAAAACUGUUCUUAAAAUGUCAGUUAGAGAUGAAUUAAAUGCCAAGUAGAAUCGGUUAACGUCAUAAGUUUUCAACAACACCAUGAAUUUUCUUCAUACUACCCAAAACUCAUUAACAAAUAUAUUUUAUGGUUCAGUAAUCUUUCAAAAGACAUGAUACUGAUAUUUCAUAUUUAUAUUUAACAAUAAAACUUAGUUGGUGAUUAUUGGAAGUUUCGCUCACUUGGAUUAAGUAUCUUUUAUAUUUUCAGAGAUGCAAGACCAAUGAAUAAUGUCAACAGUUUCAGAAAACGAUUUCUUUAAAUACCAGUAACAAUAUUAUAUUUGUAUUUGCCGCAAGUAUCAAAGUGCCAAGACCGUAAAAUAACGCGAACAAAAAUUAACACUUACAAAACGCUCACGGACGAUUAUUUCUAUUGACUGAGCGCAGCUUAGGUGAAUGGCUAAAACUAUCGAUCCCGGAUGCCACAUUGUGACACCUUGGCAUAUUCUAUUCUAUCAUUCACCUUCGAUUCUACGUUGAACUUGUGAAUUUAAUUUGGUGGAUGAAAACUUUGUGGGAGCUAAGUCUAUCACAAGUGUUAAAAAUGUGAAAAUUGAGAAGCAAAAAAAGUCAUUCCCAAAGCAACAAGUAACCAGGAAUUAAACAAGCUUGAAACAACAACCAUUUACUUUGCUGUGAGUUGAAAAAGAAAACGAAAAAUAUCUCACGUAAAACUGUUCGGGAAUUUGUGAAAACUUUAAAAAAGAACAGACCUUUAAAGAACUUAUAAUGGAAACACGAAGCUAUCGAAAACUCGUGUACGUCACAACCUCUGUUAUCUCUCUUCUAAACCUGAAGAAUUGUGUCAAUAAGUUCCAUCAAUAUUUCUGAUGAAAGCGGAAAGAGGUAUGGUGAUAUGAGUCCAUGACCUAGUUUUCGAUCCGGUGUGAUGUUUUAUCAUAGUUACAUCAUUACUACAUUUGACAAUGCCACUUCGGUGUUACAAGUUUUAAUUCUAAACAACAUCGACAGCUUUCAAAGUUUAUGCCAAUGUACGAAAGCAUUACUGUAUUAAAAUGUUGGAGAAAUAAUUGAAUGUACCAACACGGAAGGAGAGAUAGCAAAGAAAAUAAAGACAACUCCAGUCAAGUGGCAGAAAACGUAUGACCAGGAAUUGAAUAUUUUACAGUGUUUUCUUACAUGACUCAAUGAUCUAUGCAGAGGCUACACUAGAUCUGAAACGUUUUUCAUGGAUUUACGUUUUUAUUGUAAUAUUAACUCUCCUUUCAAGAGAUGAAUAUGAUUUCUCUAAAGAAUAUAUGUGAAGGCCACAAAUUGCCAUGUCUGUAAGGUAUCAGAGAAUUGGAGAAAGGACAAACUUAUAUCCAAUUUCGUGCUUUCUGCAAUAAAAUGCAACAAAUAAUGCAAAUCAGAAAUAAGCUUGCUACUCUAAUUAGCAACAAAUAGUGUUUUGCUAAUUCGAAGGGCACUGUUCAAAACCUACGCAGUCACAGUAUAUCCUGUAAAUAGAUGCAUCAUUAACAAAAUCACCAGAAAUAGCCUACAACUCAAUGUUAAAUAUUUAUUCUUUAGAAUAUUUCAUGUCAUAGAUUAUGGUGUUUUCUUCGCUAAAAUCCAUUUAUCAACUUUUAAAGUGAAUAGUUUAGUAUCCAUACUGGAAACAAAUUCCGAGGAUUGAUAGAUUUUGAAUAAAUCCUGUUAUCAGCUGUUAUGCAUCUCAUAGCUGAGAGAACAAAAUUCAUAGAUAUAAGAAUUUUAACUUACAUUUAAAAUCUGUACACAUAGAACGGAAAAGGAAAAACAAUCAAGACCAAUAAGAAACACUAAUCGCUUUACGUUAAUGUCCACAAUGGAAAUUCUGCAAGAUGGUAUUGUAAACAAA